rnacentral:rRNA from 1 species
GGGCCCGCACAAGCGGUGGAGCAUGUGGUUUAAUUCGAAGCAACGCGAAGAACCUUACCAGGUCUUGACAUACCAAUAAAGGCCCCAGAGAUGGGGAGAUAGAUAUAGUGGAUACAGGUGGUGCAUGGUUGUCGUCAGCUCGUGUCGUGAGAUGUUGGGUUAAGUCCCGCAACGAGCGCAACCCUUAUCGUUAGUUACCAUCAUUAAGUUGGGGACUCUAGCGAGACUGCCAGUGACAAACUGGAGGAAGGCGGGGAUGACGUCAAAUCAUCAUGCCCCUUAUGACCUGGGCUACACACGUGCUACAAUGGACGGAGCAGAGGGAAGCGAGACCGCGAGGUUAAGCAAAACCCAGAAAACCGUUCUCAGUUCGGAUUGUAGUCUGCAACUCGACUACAUGAAGUUGGAAUCGGCUAGUAAUCGCGAAUCAGAAUGUCG